UGCCGUCCUGCUUGCCUUGCCCUCCGGCCUAGGAUCGGCCUGCAAACUGCAGAGCUCUUCUCUCCCUGCCUCUCAGCAGAUCGGCGGGUGGGUGGGGCUUACAGAGAGGCCUCUGUGCAGGCCUCCCUGAAGCCUGAACUCGGCAGGCCCCAAGCAAGCAAGGAGGCAGGCAGGCAGAGUUCUCUGCAGCAGAAGACCUUCUGCCCAGACCAUUCAGCACAGCUUUUGUCAGAUCCUAUUAUUGGCUCAGCUGGUAGUUAAGCAAACACUGUCAAGCAACAGCUCUUGCCACCCACCUGAUUGCAGCAUGAAAAUUAUUUGCUAAGGAAUUAUGCAUCCACUGAGUGUGCUAAGCAGAAGGCAGAUAUGACACUGAGAAGGAGCCAAUUCCUUUAUAAAUCUUCUCAGGAGGAAGAUGAGGGACUUAAGCAUGGUUACUGAAUAGAAUGGCUUGCUUCUUGCACCUGUGCAAUUUAAGUGCUUCACUUCAUUCUUGGAGCCUGGGCUGGAACUGCAGAAUAAAAUGGAAAUAGAUACA